AUACGGAGGGUGCAAGCGUUGUUCGGAAUUACUGGGCGUAAAGCGCGCGUGGGUGGUCUGUUAUGUCAGAUGUGAAAGUCCACGGCUCAACCGUGGAAGUGCAUUUGAAACUGGCAGACUUGAGUACUGGAGGGGGUAGUGGAAUUCCCGGUGUAGAGGUGAAAUUCGUAGAUAUCGGGAGGAAUACCGGUGGCGAAGGCGACUACCUGGCCAGAUACUGACACUGAGGUGCGAAAGCGUGGGGAGCGAACAGGAUUAGAAACCCCAGUAGUCC
rnacentral:rRNA from 1 species